GAAUUUUAAAAUCAUUUCAAAGCACACUCAUCUUUCAAAAGACACUUGUUUUAAAGAGUACAGUUGGCUUUUGGUCAAAAUAUGAAGUUUCGGUAAUGCACAGUAACAAUUGUAGUAUAAUUACCGGCCACAAAAUACCAGGUGCCUAACCAAGCCUUUUCCACUCAUUUAAGAGAGCCAAGCCAAACAAAAAUGCCCUGCCUAGCCAUACCCAGUAGUUUAUGAGCUCAGUCUUUGUCACCAGGAAGGAAUUAAUUCAAAGAGCAAAGCCAUUAUUAGGCACAACCAGGCAUUUCUGUUGUAAACAUCUUUUGUUAAUACAUGUUGAGAGCUGAACUUUCUCACAUUUGAAAGAGGCCAGCUUGAGAGAGAAUUUAAACCAAGCCAGUUUCAAGGUUGUUUCCUUUUCUCUUUUCUUCUCUUCUGUUUUCUUUCUUCGCUUUCUGACAUCAUACCCUACUGUCUGCACAGUAGGGAAGCACUGGCCUUGGAGCCCCAAGACUCCCCCACGUAUCAUUUGACCUAAGGAUUGCAGUGUUCUGAGCUCUGCUGUGAACAGAUUGCUUUUGCACCAAGGAAAUGAACAAGGAAAGAACAGACAAGGCCCAGGAGUGUUAUAAGGAAGAAAUAUAUUAAGAGACUUACAGAUGCACUUCCUCAUUAUUUAUUGAAUAAGACAGCCAUAGUGUGUGGUUGCUGCAAACACAGAUGUACUGCUAACAAUGGGGCCCAGUUUUUUUGGAGCAAAACCCCAUCAUAAAAGCCCUCUGCUAUGCUUUGGAAUGGAUUAUUCUGUACUGGGAGCAAAUACAAAAUCUUCACUUCUCAGAA